UAAGGAAUAUUGGACAAUGCCCGCAAGGGUGAUCCAGCCAUGCCGCGUGCAGGAAGAAGGCGCUAUGCGUCGUAAACUGCUUUUACACCAGAGAAAACCCUCCUUCGUGAAGGGGGCUGAUAGUACGGUGAGAAUAAGCAUCGGCUAACUUCGUGCCAGCAGCCGCGGUAAGACGAAGGAUGCAAGCGUUAUCCGGAUUCAUUGGGUUUAAAGGGAGCGUAGGCGGCCUUAUAAGUCAGUGGUGAAAUCUCUCGGCUUAACCGAGAAAUUGCCAUUGAUACUGUAGGGCUUGAGUACAGUUGCCGUUGGCGGAAUAUGACAUGUAGUGGUGAAAUACAUAGAGAUGUCAUAGAACACCGAUUGCGAAGGCAGCUAACGAAGCUGUAACUGACGCUGAGGCUCGAAAGUGCGGGGAUCAAACA
rnacentral:rRNA from 1 species